UUUCCGUAGGUGAACCUGCGGAAGGAUCAUUACUGAAGUUUUGGCCGCAAGGCCACUCUUCCACCCUUUGUUUAUAACACCUUUGUUGCUUUGGCGGGCCGCCCUAGGCCACCGGCGUCAGCUGGUGCGCGCCCGCCAGAGGCCCAAACAACCUGUCUUAUAGUGUUUGUCUGAGUAAAAACUUAAUUGUUAAAACCUUCAACAAUGGAUCUCUUGGCUCUGGCAUCGAUGAAGAACGCAGC
rnacentral:misc_RNA from 1 species